CCUACGGGCGGCUGCAGUGGGGGAUAUUGCACAAUGGGGGAAACCCUGAUGCAGCGACGCCGCGUGGGCGAAGAAGUAUUUCGGUAUGUAAAGCCCUAUCAGCAGGGAAGAAGAAAUGACGGUACCUGAGUAAGAAGCACCGGCUAAAUACGUGCCAGCAGCCGCGGUAAUACGUAUGGUGCAAGCGUUAUCCGGAUUUACUGGGUGUAAAGGGAGCGCAGGCGGCACGGCAAGCCUGAUGUGAAAGCCCGCGGCCCAACCGCGGGACUGCAUUGGGAACUACCGGGCUGGAGUGCCGGAGAGGUAGGCGGAAUGCCUAGUGUAGCGGUGAAAUGCGUAGAUAUUAGGAGGAACACCAGUGGCGAAGGCAGCCUACUGGACGGUGACUGACGCUGAGGCUCGAAAGCGUGGGGAGCAAACAGGAUUAGAUACCCCGGUAGUC
rnacentral:rRNA from 1 species